UCGGCGCACUUAACUUUCUUUGUGGGCAAUCAAUUACCUUUCUAAGUGGUAGUUUCGCUAAAACAAAGUUUGAUAGAUGCUUUAAACAACUCAAUCGAGUUUUGAUCAGUCGAGAUGAUUUCAACUUCAAUAACAGAAUACAAUUGAUCUGUUCAGCUGAUUAUUUGAUAAAUCGCCAUUUGUUUUACAUCUUUGGAGGAUUCGAGUUCUCCCAAAUCAGCUAUCUUCUUGUUAUACUCGAGAUCACAUCACUCCUGUUGUUACUCAUAGCCAAUGCUGGUCUAGUUGAUCGACAUUGAACAAAUCUU